UACGUAGGGGGCAAGCGUUGUCCGGAUUUAUUGGGCGUAAAGAGCUCGUAGGUGGUUCGGUAAGUCGGAUGUGAAAUCUCCAGGCUCAACCUGGAGGGGUCAUUCGAUACUGCCGUGACUAGAGGCCGGUAGGGGAGUGUGGAAUUCCUGGUGGAGCGGUGAAAUGCGCAGAUAUCAGGAGGAACACCCGUAGCGAAGGCGGCACUCUGGGCCGAUACUGACACUGAGGAGCGAAAGCGUGGGGAGCGAACAGG
rnacentral:rRNA from 1 species